AACUGAAUCCAUAGGUUAAUGAGGCGAACCGGGGGAACUGAAACAUCUAAGUACCCCGAGGAAAAGAAAUCAACCGAGAUUCCCCCAGUAGCGGCGAGCGAACGGGGAGGAGCCCAGAGCCUGAAUCAGUGUGUGUGUUAGUGGAAGCGUCUGGAAAGGCGCGCGAUACAGGGUGACAGCCCCGUACACAAAAAUGCACAUGCUGUGAGCUCGAUGAGUAGGGCGGGACACGUGGUAUCCUGUCUGAAUAUGGGGGGACCAUCCUCCAAGGCUAAAUACUCCUGACUGACCGAUAGUGAACCAGUACCGUGAGGGAAAGGCGAAAAGAACCCCGGCGAGGGGAGUGAAAAAGAACCUGAAACCGUGUACGUACAAGCAGUGGGAGCACAGAGCAAUCUGUGUGACUGCGUACCUUUUGUAUAAUGGGUCAGCGACUUAUAUUCUGUAGCAAGGUUAACCGAAUAGGGGAGCCGAAGGGAAACCGAGUCUUAACUGGGCGUUAAGUUGCAGGGUAUAGACCCGAAACCCGGUGAUCUAGCCAUGGGCAGGUUGAAGGUUGGGUAACACUAACUGGAGGACCGAACCGACUAAUGUUGAAAAAUUAGCGGAUGACUUGUGGCUGGGGGUGAAAGGCCAAUCAAACCGGGAGAUAGCUGGUUCUCCCCGAAAGCUAUUUAGGUAGCGCCUCGUGAAUUCAUCUCCGGGGGUAGAGCACUGUUUCGGCAAGGGGGUCAUCCCGACUUACCAACCCGAUGCAAACUGCGAAUACCGGAGAAUGUUAUCACGGGAGACACACGGCGGGUGCUAACGUCCGUCGUGAAGAGGGAAACAACCCAGACCGCCAGCUAAGGUCCCAAAGUCAUGGUUAAGUGGGAAACGAUGUGGGAAGGCCCAGACAGCCAGGAUGUUGGCUUAGAAGCAGCCAUCAUUUAAAGAAAGCGUAAUAGCUCACUGGUCGAGUCGGCCUGCGCGGAAGAUGUAACGGGGCUAAACCAUG
rnacentral:rRNA from 1 species